AACGAACGCUGGCGGCAGGCUUAACACAUGCAAGUCGAACGCCCCGCAAGGGAGUGGCAGACGGGUGAGUAACACGUGGGAACGUGCCCUAAGGUUUGGAAUAUUCCCGGGAAACUGGGAGCAAUACCAAAUGUGUCCGCAAGGAGAAAGAUUUAUCGCCUUAGGAUCGGCCCGCGUUGGAUUAGCUAGUUGGUGGGGUAAAAGCCUACCAAGGCGACGAUCCAUAGCUGGUCUGAGAGGACGACCAGCCACACUGGGACUGAGACACGGCCCAGACUCCUACGGGAGGCAGCAGUGGGGAAUCUUGGACAAUGGGCGCAAGCCUGAUCCAGCCAUGCCGCGUGAGUGAUGAAGGCCUUAGGGUUGUAAAACUCUUUCGCCGAGGACGAUAAUGACGGUACUCGGAGAAGAAGCUCCGGCUAACUUCGUGCCA
rnacentral:rRNA from 1 species